AUUGAACGCUGGCGGCAUGCUUUACACAUGCAAGUCGAACGGCAGCGCGGGCUUCGGCCUGGCAGCGAGUGGCGAACGGGUGAGUAAUGCAUCGGAACGUGCCCAGUAGUGGGGGAUAGCCCGGCGAAAGCCGGAUUAAUACCGUAUACGACCUGAGGGUGAAAGCGGGGGACCGAAAGGCCUCGCGCUAUUGGAGCGGCCGAUGUCGGAUUAGCUAGUUGGUGGGGUAAAGGCUUACCAAGGCGACGAUCCGUAGCUGGUCUGAGAGGACGACCAGCCACACUGGGACUGAGACACGGCCCAGACUCCUACGGGAGGCAGCAGUGGGGAAUUUUGGACAAUGGGGGCAACCCUGAUCCAGCCAUGCCGCGUGCGGGAAGAAGGCCUUCGGGUUGUAAACCGCUUUUGUUCGGGAAGAAAUCCUCUGGGCUAAUACCCCGGGGGGAUGACGGUACCGGAAGAAUAAGCACCGGCUAACUACGUG
rnacentral:rRNA from 1 species